GCAUAAGGGUGUUCAGCAUAAGAACACUGUUUUUGAGACUGUUUCUUCUUUCAUAUAAUUUGAAACCUUGUUUCUUAGGUGCUGUUUUGAUUGGUGGGAUGUUAAAGUUUCUUGUUUGUUGAGGUAGAUCUUGUUGUUGGUUUGGUUUUGUUGUUGGUUUUGUUGUUGUUGGUGUUGUUGAGGUUGUUUCUGACGAACCAGUUAACAUUUGAACUACUUGUUUGAAAGUGGUUGUGUCAGCUUGAACAAAGGUUGUUGGAUAAGGAUUUGAAUCAGAUCUGGGGAUUGUUUUUGGAGUGAGAGGUGGUGUUGGAAUUUGGAUUCCAUUGCUGUUGGAAUUGCUGCUACUCAUGCAGUUGCUUACAUUGCUUUUUGGUGAGUUCAUUGGUGAUGGAUUCUCU
rnacentral:lncRNA from 1 species